UACAUUUUGGAUCUAAUGAAAGCUGAUGAUUCUCAGAGAAGUAUUGCAGAUGGUUUUUGCAACUUCAUUUGGUAUAAUUUGGAAAUGCGUACAUGUUGCGCUGCUGAAAAGUCACAGUGUAUAUACGCUACACUGACGAGAAAUCAGUGUAUAAAUGCUGCACUCUGUUAAAAUCAAAGUCUACACUUCAUAGAACAUCACAGUAGCUGCUGGUUUUUGCUGCAUAACUAAUGAACAAAAAGAACGCUGGCCAAAUGUGAAAAAGGGGGAACGAACAUGACGUGCCUGUUGAUCUGGUUGCACAAAGUCAUUCGUACAAGCAGAGAUUGGUACACUUUACCAACACAGCUCUUCUCUGCUGAUGAUUGCAAUCAUGGGUUGGUAGUCGUCCUCGUAUCCACAACACAAGCCUUUUGGGAUGGUUGCUCAAAUAGUUCAAGGUGAAGGUGUACGUGCUUUGUAGAACAAGGUUAUUCCGAGUGUAGGAAUAGUCUUCAUGACUGAUCUGUAAUCUUUGUUGAUUCAUUUUUUACUAUAUAUUUUUUGUAUCUUAUGUACUAUUUUUCUUUGUAAUGAACUGUA